rnacentral:lncRNA from 1 species
UGGUCUUCAUUUUCAAUGUUUUGUGAAAAAUGAGUAUUGUCAUACAUCCGAGAUCUAAAUUUGAGACUAUUACAUUUUGACUUUUUCUUUCGAGACAUCAGUGCACACAUGCUUGAAUUUAUAGGCAAAUGAAAAGACGAGAGAUGUUUAGAAAGGUUUAGAGGAGAAUGGGAUAGCUGUAUGGGCGAGUCAUUCCUUAUAUAAUCCUCAAAGGAGAUGUGAUAUGAGAAUGUCAGGAUGAAACACGAGAUACACAAAGGGUGGCCCAGCUUGAUGUUUUGGAAAAUGAGCCGGGGUAUGGAAAUUAGGGUGAAAUUUCAAAUGAGAUUUGCAAAGCUGCCUCAGUCUUAAGGUUAUGGAUUGAUGAAAAACUCGUGUGAGACUUACAAAGUUGUCCCAGUUUUUUUUGGCAUAGGGUUCUGUUUGGAAGAGGUAAUGAGCAUGAAAAAGAUAGGUUAAAUGGAUGACCCCUAACUGGUUUGAUUUUCUUCUGCGUGCUUCUGGCUAGGUUGCAAGGAGAUCCCCUCUUCCUAAGACAAUACUUUUUUCCUUUUUCUCUUUUUUUGUUAUUCAUUUUCAACUUUUUUUUUACAACACAUUGAAAGUCAUUUCGCCUUAUCGCAAAAUUAAGCUUUAUGAAAAAUUAAGCAAACAUUAUCCAAUCUGUGUGGGCUUUAUUAGGCUUGUAACGUGGCUAGGGGCUAAAAGGUAUUUGAAAAAAAGGAUAUGAAGGCCCAAAUGAAUGUUUGUUGGUUAUAUUUUUU